CGUAGGUGCGAGCGUUGUCCGGAUUAUUGGCGUAAGAGCUUGUAGGCGGUUGUCGCGUCUGCUGUGAAAUUCAGGGCUUAACCCUGGACGUGCAGUGGUACGGCAGACUAGAGUAUGGUAGGGAGACUGGAAUUCCUGGUGUAGCGGUGGAAUGCGCAGAUAUCAGGAGGAACACCGAUGGCGAAGGCAGGUCUCUGGGCCAUUACUGACGCUGAGAAGCGAAAGCAUGGGAGCGAACAGGAUU
rnacentral:rRNA from 1 species